rnacentral:rRNA from 1 species
UACGUAGGUGUCGAGCGUUGUCCGGAUUUAUUGGGCGUAAAGAGCCCGCAGGCGGCUUGGCAAGUUUGAGGUGAAAUCUCCCGGCUUAACUGGGAGGGGGCCUCGAAAACUGCCAGGCUUGAGGCAUGGAGAGGGAUGCGGAAUUCCCGGUGUAGUGGUGAAAUGCGUAGAUAUUGGGAAGAACACCGGUGGCGAAGGCGGCUCACUGGCUCGUAACUGACGCUCAUGCACGACAGCGUGGGGAUCAAACAGG